AACGAACGCUGGCGGCAUGCCUAACACAUGCAAGUCGAACGAGACCUCCGGGUCUAGUGGCGCACGGGUGCGUAACGCGUGGGAACCUGCCCUUAGGUUCGGAAUACCUCCCCGAAAGGGGUGCUAAUACCGGAUAAUGUCUUCGGACCAAAGAUUUAUCGCCGUUGGAUGGGCCCGCGUUGGAUUAGCUAGUUGGUAGGGUAAAAGCCUACCAAGGCGACGAUCCAUAGCUGGUCUGAGAGGAUGAUCAGCAACACUGGGACUGAGACACGGCCCAGAAUCCUACGGGAGGCAGCAGUGGGGAAUAUUGGACAAUGGGCGAAAGCCUGAUCCAGCAAUGCCGCGUGAGUGAUGAAGGCCUUAGGGUUGUAAAGCUCUUUUAACCGGGAUGAUAAUGACAGUACCGGGAGAAUAAGCUCCGGCUAACUCCGUG
rnacentral:rRNA from 1 species